rnacentral:rRNA from 1 species
AGUAACGCGUGAGGAACCUGCCUCAAAGAGGGGGACAACAGUUGGAAACGACUGCUAAUACCGCAUAAGCCCACAGCUCGGCAUCGAGCAGAGGGAAAAGGAGUGAUCCGCUUUGAGAUGGCCUCGCGUCCGAUUAGCUGGUUGGUGAGGUAACGGCCCACCAAGGCGACGAUCGGUAGCCGGACUGAGAGGUUGAACGGCCACAUUGGGACUGAGACGCGGCCCAG